rnacentral:rRNA from 1 species
AACGAACGCUGGCGGCAUGCCUAACACAUGCAAGUCGAACGAGACCUUCGGGUCUAGUGGCGCACGGGUGCGUAACGCGUGGGAACCUGCCCUUAGGUUCGGAAUAACUCCCCGAAAGGGGUGCUAAUACCGGAUAAUGUCUUCGGACCAAAGAUUUAUCGCCUUUGGAUGGGCCCGAGUUGGAUUAGCUAGUUGGUAGGGUAAAAGCCUACCAAGGCGACGAUCCAUAGCUGGUCUGAGAGGAUGAUCAGCCACACUGGGACUGAGACACGGCCCAGACUCCUACGGGAGGCAGCAGUGGGGGAUAUUGGACAAUGGGCGAAAGCCUGAUCCAGCAAUGCCGCGUGAGUGAUGAAGGCCUUAGGGUUGUAAAGCUCUUUUACCCGGGAUGAUAAUGACAGUACCGGGAGAAUAAGCUCCGGCUAACUCCGUG